AGAUACUUUCUCUUUCUCAGGAACAAAAUCAUCAGAAAGUCAAGAAUCUGUUACUCUUUUAGCAGAAGGAGUGUUUUUGCAGAUGCUGUGGGAUUGGCUUUGUGUGCUUCUUUGGUUGGUGUAUGGCAGAUGCACCUGACAGCAAUAACAGCAUAUCCUGAGAAUGCCCUAUGGUCUAAGAAGAAUAUGUGUUCAGAGUUCUCAGCUAAGGAAUCUAGGAGUGGCCAACCUGGAGAUUUAUGACUUAUGUACUAGGAACAUCUGAACCCUCAGUCCACCCCAUGGAAUACAGGCCAUACAGAGGAUUGAGGCCCUUUGUAUGGGCUUAAAUGAAGAUUGCCAGGUGGAGGUUGUGGUAAGGGAAGGGUGCUAAGUGAAAAUACUAUAUAAACUUCAUACUUUUUACAAGCAGUUGCAGUUCUCCUGUCCAGCCUGCUACUACUGGACCACCUUGCAUCAGCUCUUUAGCGGAACAGCAUCUCAGCUGCUGCAUGUGAUUACUAUAAGCCAGCCAAUCAUGAACUCCCCAAACCCCUAAACACAUGGGUGAUAACAGGGCCCAAUGCUAAGCCGAUCUUUUCCUGCUGGGAAUGACACACAAGUGAAGACACACAAGAGUACAAGAUCUUUGUAACUAAGUCAUCCAGUGGUACUACUCUAAAGAGAAACGUUACACAUUUCUGCUGCUGCAAGCUGCACUGAGUUCUUUACCUUUUAAUUACUCAGAAUAUUUUCACUUUUUGUUCAUCAUCAUUAAAGACUGAUACAUGUUGCUAGUAGCCAAAGAACAAGAGAUAAUAUACGUUUCUUUUUUUUUUUUUUCUCACACUGUCGCCCAGGCUGGAGUGCAGUGGUACAAUCUCGGCUCACUGCAACCUCAGCCUCCUGGGUUCAAGCACUUCUCCUGCCUCAGCCUCCUGAGUAGCUGGGAUUACAGGCGACCACCACCACGCCCAGCUAAUUUUUGUAUUUUGGUAGAGAUGGAGUUUCACCAUGUUGUCCAGGCUGGCCUUGAACUCCUCACCUCAAGCAAUCCACCCGCCUCGGUCUCCCAAAGUGCUGGUAUUAGAGGCAUGAGCCACCGCGCUCGGCGGGAUAAAUAUUUCUUUAUUGUUGAUCUGCUGAUACAGAGAAGAGAGAUUCUCCCAGCUGCUUCACUUCUUCCUUUUGAAAGAAACUAGCCUGAAUGUGUUCACAGUUAUUUGGGACUUACCUCUGGUGAGGAAAACAGUAUACAUCCCUUGAAGUUCUGAAGCCCUCGCCUGAGCCCACUCAAUAAACAGAAUAUUUUACAACAGUGCUACUUAAAAGGUGGCCUGCCUUCCAGGAGUACCUGCAGCUUAUUAGAAAUGCAGAUUAUGGAACUCACAUGACUACAGGUUUCAAAUUUCAGCCUGCAUAAAAAUCACCUGCAAGGCUUGUUAAAUGAAGAGGCCUAGCUUACCCCCGCAGAGAUUCAGCAGGUCUCGGAUGGGGCCCAAGAAUUUUCUUUUCUAUCCAGCUCCAAGGCAGUACUGCUAUUGCUGUUGUUCUUCAGACCACAUUUAGAACAGCUCUGUGAGAACAUGUCACUUUUUCUCCUUUUUAAUCUUUCUUAUCUGACAUAAAGCUCAGUUGCAAAUAAAAGAAACCCACCUCAAACUGACUUAAAUAACAAAGGGAACUUAUUUCCUGAUACAAAUUGCAAUUUAGAGGUUUGAGGGUUUCAGCUGUAGCCCAAUUACAUUGCCAACUGCCUGGUUUCUUCCAAGUAAUAUUCUUUUUGAAUAUUGCUGAAAACUGUGAAGCUGUCAGGUCUGAUGUGGAUGUGUUUACUAAUGUGGUCACUACUCAAAUUUAUCUUUAAACAUAUCCAUAUAGCAUUUUUAGCAUAUUGUAGGCCUUCAAUGAAUAAUAAAUACAGAUCUCUGUCAUUCCUUCUUCUUUGAACAAGCUGUUGUCUACCUGGAAAAUAAUUUUUUAUCUACUCAUAUAUCCCUUCCUUAUAUCACAAUAACUCCCAAAUGUCAAGAACCCUUAUGUGCUAGGUAGAGAAUGGAGAACAAAACAGCCAUAGUACUGCUUUAAAAAGCUUUAAUAACUUUCUAAGAAGCUUUCCUAACUUCCUACCCUUAUUCCCAUUCCCUAAACCAACUUAGGAACACUUGCUAGUGCCAUCCUUCCUCUUAUACUAUGUUCCCCAUUAUAUUGUAUAUAUAAAGUAAACAGAAAAACAUAAAUAAGUAUAAAGUGUAAUAGAUUCAAUAAAGUAGAAAGAGAUGACUGGAGAAAUGUGACAAUGUGGAUAUAAAGGCAAUGGGGAUUUUGUAACUUAGAUCAGGAUCCUCUCAAGUGAUCUUAUUACGAUACUCUCAUUUUGAAGUGUGAAACACACAGAGUAAUAAACAUUGGGAAAGCAUAAAAAAUCCCAUAACAGAAAUUACAUUAUGUUUUAUUAAAUCAGAGUUUAAAAAUAUCUGAUUAUGUCUAGAAAAAUCAAUAACAUUGUAUUCUUUUUUAAUAAUACUCUUCUGUCUUGGAAUAGUUAACUGUAUUUACUGUUAUUUUUCCACAUAAGCAGAAAAAAUAAAGCCAUGAGGGUGUGUA